AAUGAACGCUGGCGGCAGGCUUAACACAUGCGAGUCGAGCGGGGUGAUGGUGCUUGCACUACCACUUAGCGGCGGACGGGUGCGUAAUGCCUAGGAAUCUGCCUAUUAGUGGGGGACAACAACUCGAAAGGUAUGCUGAUACCGCAUACGUCCUACGAGAGAAAGCAGGGGAUCUUCGGACCUUGCGCUAAUAGAUGAGCCUAAGGCGAAUUAGCUAGUUGGUGGGGUAAAGGCCUACCGAGGCGACGAGCUGUAGCGGGUCUGAGAGGGUGAUCCGCCACACUGGGACUGAGACACGGCCCAGACUCCUACGGGAGGCAGCAGUGGGGAAUAUUGGACAAUGGGGGGAACCCUGAUCCAGCCAUGCAGCGUGUGUGAAGAAGGCCUUAUGGUUGUAAAGCACUUUAAGCGAGGAGGAGGCUACUUUAGUUAAUACCUAGAGAUAGUGGACGUUACUCGCAGAAUAAGCACCGGCUAACUCUGUGCCAGCCGCCGCGGUAA
rnacentral:rRNA from 1 species